rnacentral:rRNA from 1 species
AACGAACGCUGGCGGCAGGCUUAACACAUGCAAGUCGAGCGCCCCGCAAGGGGAGCGGCAGACGGGUGAGUAACGCGUGGGAAUCUACCCAUCUCUACGGAAUAACGCAUGGAAACGUAUGCUAAUACCGUAUACGUCCUUCGGGAGAAAGAUUUAUCGGAGGUGGAUGAGCCCGCGUUGGAUUGGCUAGUUGGUGGGGUAAAGGCCUACCAAGGCGACGAUCCAUAGCUGGUCUGAGAGGAUGAUCAGCCACACUGGGACUGAGACACGGCCCAGAUUCCUACGGGAGGCAGCAGUGGGGAAUAUUGGGCAAUGGGCGCAAGCCGGAUCCAGCCAUGCCGCGUGAGUGAUGAAGGCCCUAGGGUUGUAAAGCUCUUUCACCGGUGAAGAUAAUGACGGUAACCGGAGAAGAAGCCCCGGCUAACUUCGUGCCAGCCGCCGCCGUAACAC